UCCCCUUCUCUCGUCGUUGGGUCGUUCCGUGCGGCUGCGCCCGUCUUCUUCCUCUGGCCAAAACCAACGAAAUAAUAAAACACCAAAAAUACCGAGUCAAAAACGCCCCCGCGACAAGGUCCCUCGGGCCACCUCCGCGUCCAGCGUCCUCCAACCCCCACCCGCCUUCCCGACCCAAUCCGGAGAGCCCGAUCCCGCCAUGGCGUCGGAGAUCGAGGUCCUCGAGGACACGACCGCCGCCGCGGCCGCGGUCGCCUCCACUGCCGGGGCCGGCGGGGCGGCCGCCGCGGGGGAGGCGGAGGCGGCGGAGGAGUCGCUCAAGGACGACGUCUACACGGGCGCCGCCUACGGGGACCUCGAGAAGCUGCACCGCCUCGUCGAGCUGGAGGGCCGGUCGGUGACGGAGCCCGACGGCCUCGGCUACCACGCGCUCCAGUGGGCCGCCCUCAACAACCGCGUCGCCGCCGCGCAGUACAUCCUCGAGCACGGAGCAGAUGUAAAUGCUAUAGACCAUACAGGGCAAACAGCGCUUCACUGGAGUGCAGUGCGUGGUCAUAUUCAAGUUGCAGAACUACUUCUAAAAGAAGGAGCUAAGGUUGAUGCUGCUGAUUUAUAUGGAUAUCAGACCACACAUGUUGCAGCACAGUAUGGUCAGACAGCAUUUCUUUAUCACAUUAUUUCAAAAUGGAAUGCUGAUCCUGAUGUCCCUGACAAUGAUGGCAGAAGUCCUCUUCACUGGGCUGCUUAUAAGGGAUUUGCAGACUCCAUACGCCUCCUUUUGUUUUUGGGCGCUUAUAGGGGGCGGCAAGAUAAAGAAGGUUGUACUCCUUUACAUUGGGCUGCCAUUCGGGGGAAUAUGGAGUCAUGCACUGUGUUAGUUCAGGUUGGUAAGAAGGAGGACCUUAUGGUGCAAGACAAUACUGGGUUAACUCCGGCCCAACUUGCUGCUGAUAAGAGUCACCGGCAAGUUGCAUUUUACCUUGGGAAUGCUAGAAAAGUGCAUGAAAGAGGAUGUGGUGGGAACAAUUAUUUUGGGAAACUAUCAAAAUUAGGACUCGCCCCUGUGCUUUGGUGUAUUAUUAUUGGCUUAAUUGUUGCAUAUAUACAUUCAGUUAUCGCAGGACAAUACAACUCGAAUAUGACACUACUAUUUGGUUUCUUUUCAUGGUUGGGAGUUUUCCUUGCAAUUGCUGGACUAGUUAUGUUUUAUAGAUGUAGCAGGAAAGAUCCUGGUUACAUCAACAAGAAUAUAAGAGACUCGCAAACUCAAAGAGAUGAUGAACCUUUGUUGAAGAGGGGUCUAGAUAACCCGGAACUUCUGGCUGGCAAUUGGUCUCAACUAUGUAUUACUUGCAAAAUUGUGAGGCCCAUACGCUCAAAACACUGCUCUACAUGUGAUCGCUGUGUUGAGCAAUUUGAUCAUCACUGCCCUUGGGUUUCAAAUUGCAUCGGAAAGAAGAACAAAUGGGAGUUCUUUAUGUUUCUUAUCCUAGAAGUUUCUGCGAUGAUCAUUACUGCUGCAACGGCUGUCAUAAGAGUAGCAGGUGAUCCAGGCUCUCCAGCAUCGUUUGGUGGAUGGCUUAACUAUUCAGCUACGAACCAUCCUUGGGUGGUGUCUUUUGUUAUAAUGGAUCUCUUCCUUUUCUUCGGCGUUAUAACUCUAACAGUAGUUCAAGCAUCACAGAUAUCUGGGAAUAUAACAACAAAUGAGAUGGCAAAUGCCAUGAGGUACAGUUAUCUCAGAGGCCCAGGUGGUCGGUUCAGAAAUCCAUUUGAUCACGGGGUGAGGAAGAAUUGUUCUGACUUCUUCCUGAAGGGGUACAAUGAGGAUAUUGAGAAGGUAGAACAGACGUCGCAUCCUGACGAGGAAAUGGCAAUUAUUCACAUGACAAGAAGUGCAGUCUCGCAGAACGGUGAGAGCGUGCCACUUCAUGCUAAUGGUGCUGACCAUGUUUGUGCUGACUCACAAACCAGCUCAAAAUCGCAUCGCCAAGUUAGUUCGUCUAAAUGCUGCGAUCACAGUAAGAAGACUGACAAAACCCCUUUGGGCCUAGGGUUGGGCCUUGGACGAAACAAUCCCUCUAGCCGUUAUGCACGGAAUCUUCUUCCCUUAUGACUCAUUUGGAGAAUGGCCCCUUGUUCCCUUGCGAUUCAUUUGUAGAAGGCAAGUGUUCUCUUAUUUUAGUUGUAUGUGUUCGUUACACCACGACAGUUGGCUGGCUAUUUCUUCAUAUUGCGAUCGCUUCUUUCUGGCUGCACUGAUAUCGUCAAGGUCGAUGACUAGAUGCAGAGCCACAGAUUCAGUGAGUACUGAGAUGGCAAGAGCACAAAAGGAGGUCGAAGUUGUAUGAGAGCUCCAAGCGGCAGAAAAAUUCUGAAGGCAUAAUAUUCUUUUGCGUGCAAAAAAUGCACCAGUGUACAUUAUGUUUGACAUUUUGUAUGUACAUGAAGGGUUGAUAGUUCAGAUGCUGUCCUAUUUUGGAAAAUACAGUUGUACAUUGGAAGAGCUGUAAAUUACGAAGUAACCUAAUGCUGGAACGUGAUUUUUCCUGUUUCUUUUUCGUUUCAGUGUUGCUCUAUUGAGCGAGAUGUCGGCUUCAUUACCACUUUUUAUGUAACCAUGAAACGAAUUCGUGUGAGUGCGAGUGUCAUAUGAGACGGUGUGAUCUCAAAUCUGAAAUCACC
rnacentral:rRNA from 1 species